GGCUCAGAACUAACGCUGGCGGCGUGCCUAACACAUGCAAGUCGUACGAGAAAGUCGGCUUCGGCCGAUGAGUAAAGUGGCGCACGGGUGAGUAACGCGUGGGUAAUCUGCCCCCCGGUCAGGAAUAACCCGCCGAAAGGCGGGCUAAUACCCGAUAACACUGACGCUCUGCGGAGUGUCUUUCAAAGAAGGCCUCUGUUUACAAGCUUUCACCGGAGGAUGAGCCCGCGUACCAUUAGCUAGUUGGCAGGGUAAUGGCCUACCAAGGCAACGAUGGUUAGCUGGUCUGAGAGGAUGACCAGCCACACUGGAACUGAGACACGGUCCAGACUCCUACGGGAGGCAGCAGUGAGGAAUCUUGCGCAAUGGGGGAAACCCUGACGCAGCAACGCCGCGUGAGUGAGGAAGGCUUUCGGGUCGUAAAGCUCUGUCGGAUGGGAAGAAAUGGUUGGAAGCUAAUACCUUCCAUCCUUGACGGUACCAUCAGAGGAAGCACCGGCUAACUCCGUGCCAGCAGCCGCGGUAA
rnacentral:rRNA from 1 species